rnacentral:rRNA from 1 species
GAUGAACGCUGGCGGCGUGCCUAAUACAUGCAAGUCGAGCGAACGGACGAGAAGCUUGCUUCUCUGAUGUUAGCGGCGGACGGGUGAGUAACACGUGGAUAACCUACCUAUAAGACUGGGAUAACUUCGGGAAACCGGAGCUAAUACCGGAUAAUAUUUUGAACCGCAUGGUUCAAAAGUGAAAGACGGUCUUGCUGUCACUUAUAGAUGGAUCCGCGCUGCAUUAGCUAGUUGGUAAGGUAACGGCUUACCAAGGCAACGAUGCAUAGCCGACCUGAGAGGGUGAUCGGCCACACUGGAACUGAGACACGGUCCAGACUCCUACGGGAGGCAGCAGUAGGGAAUCUUCCGCAAUGGGCGAAAGCCUGACGGAGCAACGCCGCGUGAGUGAUGAAGGUCUUCGGAUCGUAAAACUCUGUUAUUAGGGAAGAAAAUAUGUGUAAGUAACUGUGCACAUCUUGACGGUACCUAAUCAGAAAGCAACGGCUAUCUACGUG